rnacentral:rRNA from 1 species
GACAGAGGGUGCAAACGUUGUUCGGAAUUACUGGGCGUAAAGCGCGUGUAGGCUGUUGCGAAAGUCGGGUGUGACAUCCCUGGGCUCAACCCAGGAAGUGCACUCGAAACUCCGCGACUUGAGUCUCGGAGAGGGAGGCGGAAUUCUGGGUGUAGAGGUGAAAUGCGUAGAUAUCCAGAGGAACACCAGUGGCGAAGGCGGCCUCCUGGACGAUCACUGACGCUGAGACGCGAAAGCGUGGGGAGCAAACAGG